CUACGGGGCGCACCAGUGGGGAAUAUUGGACAAUGGGGAAAACCCUGAUCCAGCAAUGCCGCGUGUGUGAAGAAGGCCUGCGGGUUGUAAAGCACUUUCGGUUGGGAGGACUGCUUCUAGCACUAAUAUUGUUGGAAGUUGACGUUACCUUCAGAAGAAGCACCGGCUAACUCCGUGCCAGCAGCCGCAGUAAUACGGAGGGUGGCAAGCGUUAAUCGGAAUUACUGGGCGUAAAGCGCGCGUAGGCGGCUAGAUCAGUCGGGUGUGAAAGCCCCGGGCUUAACCUGGGAACUGCAUCCGAUACUGUCUAGCUUGAGUACAGGAGAGGAGAGUGGAAUUCCACAUGUAGCGGUGAAAUGCGUAGAUAUGUGGAGGAACACCAAUGGCGAAGGCAGCUCUCUGGCCUGAUACUGACGCUGAGGUGCGAAAGCGUGGGGAGCAAACAGGAUUAGAUACCCGGGUAGUC
rnacentral:rRNA from 1 species